GCCUAAAUACUAACCAUUUACCGAUAGUGAACAAGUACUGUGAAGGAAAGAUGAAAAGAACCCAGAGAUGGGAGUGAAAUAGAUCAUGAAACCUUUUGCUUACAAAGAGUCAUAGCACAUUAAUGUGUAAUGGCGUGCGUUUUGAAGUAUGAGCCGGCGAGUUAUUGUUGCAUGCGAGGUUAAGCUGACAAAAGCGGAGCCGAAGCGAAAGCGAGUGUGAAUAGUGCGAAUUAGUAUGCGGCAAUAGACCCGAAACGGGAUGAGCUACCCAUGGACAGGCUGAAGGUAAGGUAAAACUUCCUGGAGGGCCGAACCGACUACCGUUGAAAUGUUAGCGGAUGAUCUGUGGGUAGGGGUGAAAUUCCAAUCGAAUUCCGUGAUAGCUGGUUCUCGCCGAAAUAGUUUUAGGACUAGCGUUGGAUUAUGUGUCCCCGGAGGUAAAGCACUGAAUUCAUGAUGGCCUACCCUGUAGGUACUGAAUGAAAUUAAACUCUGAAUGCCGAUGACACUACUCCAGCAGUGAGACCCCGGGGGAUAAGCUCCGCGGUCACAAGGGAAAGAGCCCAGACCAACAAAUAAGGUCCCUAAAUUUAGCUAAGUGGAAAAGGAAGUCUUAAUUCAUAAACAACUAGGAUGUUGGCUUAGAAGCAGCCAUCAUUUAAAGAGUGCGUAAUAGCUCACUAGUCUAGUUUUUUGGCACCGAAGGUAUAACGGGGCUAAGCUAAAUACCGAAUUUUUGGACUGUUUUAAUAUAGCCGUAUUAGCUUAUAGAACAGUGGUAGGCGAGUGUUGUAUUGGAGAUGAAGGCUGAGCGCGAGCACAGUUGGAUCCAACACAAGCAAGAAUGCCGGCGUUAGUAACGUAUGAAAGUGAAAAUCUUUCUAGCCGAUUGAUCAAGGUUUCCAGGGCAAGGGUCAUCCGCCCUGGGUUAGUCGGGCCUAAGAUGAGGCCGAAAGGCGUAGUUGAUGGAGAGCGAGUUAAUAUUCUUGCACCAAUCUAGCUAGUGAUGGGUUGACAGAAGAGGUUAAUAUGGGCGGGUUACUGGAUUCCCGUUUAAAUUUCAAGUGGCCUGGGUAGUUAAAUGCGCCCAGAGACAUGCCAUGAGGAACGAAUACGAGCGAACCCCAUUUGGGUAGUAGCGAAGCCAUAGAUAUCCCAUUCUCAAGAAAAGACUCUAAACUUAUAGCUAGAUUGUCCGUACCUAGAACGAACACACGUGAUCAAGGAGAAAAUCCUAAGGCUAUCGAGAUAACUACAGUUAAGGAACUCUGCAAAAUCACCCCGUAACUUCGGGAGAAGGGGUGCCUAUGAAAAUAGGCCACAGUAAAGAAUGAGGGGGGACUGUUUAACAAAAACAUAGCUUUAUGCAAAAUCGAAAGAUUACGUAUAUGAGGCGACACCUGCCCAGUGCCAGAAGGUCAAUGAAGGAUGUUAGCUUCGCGCGAAGCAUUUAACUUAAGCCCUGGUGAACGGCGGCCGUAACUAUAACGGUCCUAAGGUAGCGAAAUUCCUUGUCAGGUAAAUUCUGUCCCGCUUGAAUGGUGUAACC
rnacentral:rRNA from 1 species